rnacentral:lncRNA from 1 species
GAAGAGGGAGGCUAGCACGAGCUGUGGGCAGGCUGUACAGUAUGAAGAACCAGACUUCCAGAAUCACGCAUCAUGUCCUGUCUUGUCUCCCUUCCUCCCGCCACAGGGCAGACCUGAACUUUCUUAGGGCUGGAUUGUGUUUUUAAACCUGUUCUUUGGAACCCCAGGGUCCCUCAUAAUUGCUUCAGGCUCUGAGAUGGGGUUUGCAAGGGAAGCCUGAGUUCUUGUAUGUUUGAUGAAAUAACUGGACUUUUUUCAUGCUUUAAAUAUGUGUGAGACACUCAUUUCUGAACCGUCUCUUUAUCUUCUUUCUGUGAUCAUCUACUUAGCAUCUUCCCCAGGCAGUGUUGGUUGCCAAGCACAACUAAGCACUGGGCCAGAAAGUUCCCAGUCAAGUGUGGUUACCUACAGGCAGAAAACAGAUCCCGUCUGUUACAGCAACCCAGAUAAGGAGCCGUGUCAGAGGCUUUGUUGUUUAUACAACCCUUAGAGUGUAUCUUCUUUUUAACUUAGUUUAUUAUUUAACUCCCUCCAAUAUAAAAUAUUGGGCCACAAACUGGUUUCUGUGUGCUAUAAACUCUUUGCUUUAAAUGUGUCAUUAAAAUUUUACCACCAAAUUAAGCUCCCUUGACUUUUCUUAAAUAGGUGUUUGUGACUUUGAAAAAUAUGAGUUGUCUGGGUUAGAGAAAAGAAAGUGGCAGUAGGCUCAAGUUAUUAAGCAGCAGAGGAAAUAUGACCCAAUUUGAUGUUUUUUUAAAGCAAGAGAGAUGAGUCUGUGAGUUUAAAGAUUUUGUAGAAUAAACAAGUUUUUGCAAAAUC